GGCGCUGUGGCUCAAAUGGUAGAGCGCUACACUUGAGCUGUAGAGCUGAGGGACAGUGUCC
rfam:Dipodomys ordii ctg_broad_rename0002367, whole genome shotgun sequence.